rnacentral:misc_RNA from 1 species
CUGCGAGUUCGCGGGAGAGUAGGUUAUUGCCAGGGUUUUUUAUUUUAUACUUCAAAUCUUGAAUUUAUUUUUUAUGUUUUUAAAUGUUUAUUUUUUUUAAUGUUUGAUUUAAAAAAAUAUAAAAAAUAAAAUAGAUAUUGACAUGGAUUAAACAAAGAUAUAUAUUAUUCUAUGUUGCAUAAACAAAUUGGCAAAGUAGAGAUGGAAGAUAAAAAUAUGGUCAAAGUAAUAAGAGUCUAUGGUGAAUGCCUAGGA